rnacentral:lncRNA from 1 species
UUCCGCCAUUUCUGGUUAAAAAAGAUUACCGGAGACUUUACGAUUUUUUCUACCACUCGUCUGGUUUCGUUCAAGAUGAAGCUGAGAAACUCGGUAUCUCGCGAGAAGAAGUUUGCCAUAAUCUGUUAUUCGCCACGUGCUUUAAUACCUUCGGUGGCAUGAAGAUUUUCUUCCCCAACAUGCUAAAGUGGAUUAGCAGGGCUGGAGUCAAAUUACAUACUGAUUUAGCACAAGAGAUCAGAUCAGCCAUCAGAUCCAACGGUGGGAAACUCACCAUGGCCGCCAUGGAACAGAUGCCAUUGAUGAAAUCCGUUGUAUACGAAGGGCUCCGGAUCGAACCUCCAGUUCCGUCACAGUACGGGAGAGCAAAGAAAGAUCUCUUGAUCGAGAGCCACGACGCCGUUUACCUGGUGAAAGCAGGGGAGAUGUUGUACGGCUACCAACCUUUUGCAACAAAAGACCCGAAAAUAUUCGAGAAUCCGGAGGAAUUUGUCCCAGACAGGUUCAUGGGUGACGAUGGAGGGAGGCUGUUAAAGCACGUGCUUUGGUCGAAUGGACCCGAGACUGAAGAUCCAACGACGGCGAACA